rnacentral:lncRNA from 1 species
AGGUAUGUGCCUGAGCGAGCAAGUGUCCUUGGAGGCCAGAGGCUUCGGAUCCCUGGAGUUGAAGUUAUACCUAAAUGUGAACACUUGGCACAGAUGCUGGGAGUCCAUCUCAGCUCCCUGCAGGAAGAGUGUGUGCUCUUGACAAGUGAGCCUCCCCAGCCUUUGUCUGGAUGUCUGAUAAAGCUGGAGUUAUGGAAUUUCUGAUAGUGAUCUUGUUCUUAUGUGACAUCACUGUGACUUAGUGCUGGUGGGCUGACGCUGACUAACUGUAAUCACUUGAUGAAGUGGUAUCUGCCAAGUUUUUCCACCACAGACUUAGUAUUUUCUGCUUUUCAUGUUCUAAACGUUAUCAUUAAACGCAGCCGGAGAGAAGGCUUCAGGGGAACUAUGGAAAUUUUGUGAACUUGUGUUGAAACCACCGCAAUAAUGAAGAAAUAUUUAGGGAAGAGCCUGUGUGAUUCUGUGACCUUGCUUUUUGGUGUCACUCACUUGUCUUAGCAUCCGUCAGAAGGCUUAGUGACAGCACUGUUCUGCAUGCUUAAUGGCAAUUUGUCUACUCUCGUCAUCCUUUCUGCACACAGUAUUUGGGAUUCACCUAUAGUUCAGCACAUCCUUUCUUCAUGGUGGAUUUACUUAUUCACCCUUGGAAUGAAUUUAUGGAAAUGUAUUUUGUGAACAAUUAUUCUGAGACUACUAAUCAAUAACUUUAUUUUUCAUUGCCCAUUGGCAUAAUGUUAUUGUGUACUAUAUAAAGUUUAUCCUUGUAUGACUCAAAUGAUAUCUAUGUCCCCAUAUCUGGUUGUGAUCAGAACGUGCAUUGUAAUGCUUAUUCUAAGAAUCUCCUAUCUCAAUGUUGUUUAAACAUUGCUCCCCAGUUAUCUCU